rnacentral:rRNA from 1 species
UACGAAGGGGCUAGCGUUGCUCGGAAUCACUGGGCGUAAAGGGUGCGUAGGCGGGUCUUUAAGUCAGGGGUGAAAUCCUGGAGCUCAACUCCAGAACUGCCUUUGAUACUGAAGAUCUUGAGUCCGGGAGAGGUGAGUGGAACUGCGAGUGUAGAGGUGAAAUUCGUAGAUAUUCGCAAGAACACCAGUGGCGAAGGCGGCUCACUGGCCCGGUACUGACGCUGAGGUGCGAAAGCGUGGGAGCAACAGGG